rnacentral:rRNA from 1 species
AAGGCGUAGUCGAUGGAAAACAGGUUAAUAUUCCUGUACCACCUAUUAGGAGUGAUGGGGUGACGGAGAAGGAUAGAUCAGCCGUGUGUUGGAUUACACGGUUCAAGCUUGUAGGAUUAAGAGAUUGGCAAAUCCGUCUCUUUUUAAGUCCGAGAAGUGAGUACGAGAGGCCCUAGGCCUCAUAAAGUGAUUGAUUCCAUGCUUCCUAGAAAAACCUCUAAAUGUUGAAUAAUAGGUGCUCGUACUGUAAACGGACACACGUACGCGGGUAGAGUAUACCAAGGUGUUUGAGAUAAUUAUGGCCAAGGAACUCGGCAAAAUAGCUCCGUAACUUCGGGAUAAGGAGUGCCUAUGUUAGGUGAAGGAUCUUGCAUCUGGAGCUGAGAUAGGUGACACUGAAAUGAUGGAAGCGACUGUUUACCAAAAACACAGGCCUGUGCUAACCCGCAAGGGGAUGUAUACGGGCUGACGCCUGCCCGGUGCUGGACGGUUAAGGGGACGGGUUAUCCUUCGGGAGAAGCUUGGAACCGAAGCCCCAGUAAACGGCGGCCGUAACUAUAACGGUCCUAAGGUAGCGAAAUUCCUUGUCGUCUAAUUAGCGACCCGCAUGAAUGGCGUAACGACUUCUGUACUGUCUCGGCCAUAAUCUCAGCGAAAUUGUAGUGCUGGUGAAGAUGCCAGCUUCCCGUUGUGGGACGGAAAGACCCCGUGCACCUUUACUAUAACCUAGCACUGGAUUUUGAUGUUAAAUGCGUAGGAUAGGUGGGAGACUAUGAAAGUUUAAUUUUGGUUAAGCUGGAGUCGUUGGUGAAAUACCACCCUUUUGAUGUUAGGAUUCUAACUUAAAUCCGUUAUCCGGAUUGAGGACAAUGUUAGGCGGGUAGUUUGACUGGGGCGGUUGACUCCUAAAGAGUAACGGAGUCGCUCAAAGGUUCUCUCAGCCUGAUUGGAAACCAGGCGUCGAGUGUAAUGGCACAAGAGAGCUUGACUGUGAGAUUGACAAAUCGAGCAGGUACGAAAGUAGGACAUAGUGACCCGGUGGCUUCCAUGUGGGAGGGCCAUCGAUCAUCGGAUAAAAGGUACGCCGGGGAUAACAGAUUAAUCGCGCCCAAGAGUUCACAUCGACGGCGCGGAUUGAUACCUCGAUGUCGGCUCAUCGCAUCCCGGGGCUGUAGAAGGUCCCAAGGGUUGAGCUGUUCGCUCAUUAAAGCGGUACGCGAGCUGGGUUCAGAACGUCGUGAGACAGUUCGGUCCCUAUCUACAACGGGCGAAGGAGAAUUGAGAGGGGUUGCUCAUAGUACGAGAGGACCUGAGUGAACAAACCUCUAGUGUACCAGUUGUUGUGCCAACAGCAGUGCUGGGUAGCUACGUUUGGAAAGGAUAACCGCUGAAAGCAUCUUAAGUGGGAAACCUGCCUCGAGAUUAAUUCUCCCGAACCAUUAGGUUCCUUAAGACCACUCGAAGACUACGAGUUUGAUAGGCACAGUGUGUAAGUUCAGUAAUGAAUUCAGCUAAUGUGUACUAAUCGGUCGUGAGCCUUAACUAC